rnacentral:rRNA from 1 species
CGACCCCAGGUCAGGCGAGGCUACCCGCUGAGUUUAAGCAUAUCAAUAA